UACGGGGGGAGCAAGCGUUGUUCGGAUUUACUGGGCGUAAAGGGCGCGUAGGCGGCGCAACAAGUCACUUGUGAAAUCUCCGGGCUUAACCCGGAGCGGCCAAGUGAUACUGUCGUGCUAGAGUGCAGAAGGGGCAACUGGAAUUCUUGGUGUAGCGGUGAGAUGCGUAGAUAUCAAGAGGAACACCUGCGGCGAAGGCGGGUUGCUGGGCUGACACUGACGCUGAGGCGCGAAAGCUAGGGGAGCGAACGGG
rnacentral:rRNA from 1 species